UACGUAGGGUGCAAGCGUUAAUCGGAAUUACUGGGCGUAAAGCGUGCGCAGGCGGUGAUGUAAGACAGGUGUGAAAUCCCCGGGCUUAACCUGGGAACUGCAUUUGUGACUGCAUCGCUGGAGUGCGGCAGAGGGGGAUGGAAUUCCGCGUGUAGCAGUGAAAUGCGUAGAGAUGUGGAGGAACACCGAUGGCGAAGGCAGCCCCCUGGGUCAACACUGACGCUCAUGCACGAAAGCGUGGGGAGCAAACAGG
rnacentral:rRNA from 1 species